rnacentral:sRNA from 1 species
UUGUUGCGUUAGGGAUAGAGGCGAUAUCCUCGAAGAGAUAAAGCCGAUAGCCCGACCUGAA